rnacentral:rRNA from 2 species
GAGUUUGAUCAUGGCUCAGAGCGAACGCUGGCGGCAGGCUUAACACAUGCAAGUCGAGCGGGCACUUCGGUGUCAGCGGCAGACGGGUGAGUAACACGUGGGAACGUGCCCUUCGGUUCGGAAUAACUCAGGGAAACUUGAGCUAAUACCGGAUACGCCCUUUUGGGGAAAGGUUUACUGCCGAAGGAUCGGCCCGCGUCUGAUUAGCUUGUUGGUGGGGUAACGGCCUACCAAGGCGACGAUCAGUAGCUGGUCUGAGAGGAUGAUCAGCCACACUGGGACUGAGACACGGCCCAGACUCCUACGGGAGGCAGCAGUGGGGAAUAUUGGACAAUGGGCGCAAGCCUGAUCCAGCCAUGCCGCGUGAGUGAUGAAAGCCUUAGGGUUGUAAAGCUCUUUUGUCCGGGACGAUAAUGACGGCACCGGAAGAAUAAGCCCCGGCUAACUUCGUGCCAGCAGCCGCCGCCGU